rnacentral:rRNA from 1 species
GGACUACAAGGGUUUCUAAUCCUGUUUGCUCCCCACGCUUUCGCGUCUCAGCGUCAGUGUCCGUCCAGGUCGCCGCCUUCGCCACUGGUGUUCCUCCCGAUAUCUACGAAUUUCACCUCUACACCGGGAAUUCCGCGACCCUCUCCGGCACUCAAGCUCGUCAGUUUCGCGCGCACUUCCCAGGUUAAGCCUGGGGAUUUCACACGCGACUUGACGUGCCGCCUACAAGCGCUUUACGCCCAAUAAUUCCGAACAACGCUCGCACCCUCUGUAUUACCGCGGCGGCUGGCAC